rnacentral:misc_RNA from 1 species
GAAAUGCGAUAAGUAGUGUGAAUUGCAGAAUUCAGUGAAUCAUCGAAUCUUUGAACGCACAUUGCGCCCCUCGGUAUCCCGGGGGGCAUGCCUGUUCGAGCGUCAUUUCUACCAUUCAAGCUUUGCUUGGUUUUGGGUAUUGUAGCACCUUUUUAGGGGGGGUUUACAUGCCUUAAAUACAGACGGCAGCAAGUACUAGUUCUGAGCGUAGCAGUAAAAACAUUUCGCUUUUGGGGACUUUGUAUUUCGUUAACCGGAAAAAGUAUAUUUUCAGUUUGACCUCGGAUCAGGCAGGGAUACCCGCUGAACUUAA